GACGAACGCUGGCGGCGUGCUUAACACAUGCAAGUCGAACGGAAAGGCCCUGCUUUUGUGGGGUGCUCGAGUGGCGAACGGGUGAGUAACACGUGAGUAACCUGCCCUUGACUUUGGGAUAACUUCAGGAAACUGGGGCUAAUACCGGAUAGGAGCUCCUGCUGCAUGGUGGGGGUUGGAAAGUUUCGGCGGUUGGGGAUGGACUCGCGGCUUAUCAGCUUGUUGGUGGGGUAGUGGCUUACCAAGGCUUUGACGGGUAGCCGGCCUGAGAGGGUGACCGGCCACAUUGGGACUGAGAUACGGCCCAGACUCCUACGGGAGGCAGCAGUGGGGAAUAUUGCACAAUGGGCGGAAGCCUGAUGCAGCAACGCCGCGUGCGGGAUGACGGCCUUCGGGUUGUAAACCGCUUUCGCCUGUGACGAAGCGUGAGUGACGGUAAUGGGUAAAGAAGUACCGGCUAACUACGU
rnacentral:rRNA from 1 species